GAUGAACGCUGGCGGCGUGCCUAAUACAUGCAAGUCGAGCGAACAGACGAGGAGCUUGCUCCUCUGACGUUAGCGGCGGACGGGUGAGUAACACGUGGAUAACCUACCUAUAAGACUGGGAUAACUUCGGGAAACCGGAGCUAAUACCGGAUAAUAUAUUGAACCGCAUGGUUCAAUAGUGAAAGACGGUUUUGCUGUCACUUAUAGAUGGAUCCGCGCCGCAUUAGCUAGUUGGUAAGGUAACGGCUUACCAAGGCGACGAUGCGUAGCCGACCUGAGAGGGUGAUCGGCCACACUGGAACUGAGACACGGUCCAGACUCCUACGGGAGGCAGCAGUAGGGAAUCUUCCGCAAGAGGCGAAAGCCUGACGGAGCAACGCCGCGUGAGUGAUGAAGGUCUUCGGAUCGUAAAACUCUGUUAUUAGGGAAGAACAAAUGUGUAAGUAACUAUGCACGUCUUGACGGUACCUAAUCAGAAAGCCACGGCUAACUACGUG
rnacentral:rRNA from 1 species